GAUGAAGAACGUAGCGAAAUGCGAUAAGUAAUGUGAAUUGCAGAAUUCAGUGAAUCAUCGAAUCUUUGAACGCACAUUGCGCCCGCCAGUAUUCUGGCGGGCAUGCCUGUUCGAGCGUCAUUUCAACCAUCAAGCCCCCGGCUUGUGUUGGGGACCUGCGGCUGCCGCAGGCCCUGAAAACCAGUGGCGGGCUCGCUGUCACACCGAGCGUAGUAGAUUUCAUCUCGCUCAGGGCGUGCUGCGGGUUCCGGCCGUAAAAAGCCUUAUUUACCCAAGGUUGACCUCGGAUCAGGUAGGAAGACCCGCUGAACUUAAGCAUAUCAAUAAGCGGAGGA
rnacentral:misc_RNA from 1 species